rnacentral:tRNA from 2 species
GGGGCUGUAGCUCAGUUGGGAGAGCGCUUGAAUGGCAUUCAAGAGGCCGUGGGUUCGACUCCCAUCAGCUCCACCA